GCCAAAGUUCCUUCUCUUGAUGGAAAACCAAAGAUGUUCUUCUUUCAGAACGACAUUGAUAUCUUGCAACCAUCGAACUAUUCAGAAGAUGAGCCGCCUUCAAUUCUACUUGUAUAUCCCGAUGCAUUCGUUCUACGAUCGACCCUCAGAGAUGUCGUGGAAAGAUUCUGCCACAUAUUAGAAAUGAAUCUAUGCGGCUCUCUCAGCUUCAUACUGGC